rnacentral:tRNA from 1 species
GGAGAGGUCGCAUAGCUGGUUUAGUGCACCGGUCUUGAAAACCGGCGAGCCGCAAGGCUCCGAGGGUUCGAAUCCCUCCCUCUCCG